AUACGGAGGGUGCAAGCGUUAUCCGGAUUCAUUGGGUUUAAAGGGUGCGCAGGCGGAAUGAUAAGUCAGUGGUGAAAUCCUACAGCUUAACUGUAGAACUGCCAUUGAUACUGUCAUUCUUGAGUACACUUGAAGUGGGCGGAAUGUAUCAUGUAGCGGUGAAAUGCAUAGAUAUGAUACAGAACUCCGAUAGCGAAGGCAGCUCACUAAAUUGUAACUGACGCUCAGGCACGAAAGCGUGGGGAGCAAACAGGAUUAGAAACCCUAGUAGUCC
rnacentral:rRNA from 1 species